GACGAACGCUGGCGGCGUGCUUAACACAUGCAAGUCGAACGGAAAGGCCCUGCUUUUGUGGGGUGCUCGAGUGGCGAACGGGUGAGUAACACGUGAGUAACCUGCCCUUGACUUUGGGAUAACUUCAGGAAACUGGGGCUAAUACCGGAUAGGAGCUCCUGCUGCAUGGUGGGGGUUGGAAAGUUUCGGCGGUUGGGGAUGGACUCGCGGCUUAUCAGCUUGUUGGUGGGGUAGUGGCUUACCAAGGCUUUGACGGGUAGCCGGCCUGAGAGGGUGACCGGCCACAUUAGGCCUGAGAUACGGCCCAGACUCCUACGGGAGGCAGCAGUGGGGAAUAUUGCACAAUGGGCGGAAGCCUGAUGCAGCAACGCCGCGUGCGGGAUGACGGCCUUCGGGUUGUAAACCGCUUUCGCCUGUGACGAAGCGUGAGUGACGGUAAUGGGUAAAGAAGCACCGGCUAACUACGUG
rnacentral:rRNA from 1 species